ACCGCAUAAUUCGGCGAGUCGCAUGGCUCGCUGGGAAAGAUGGCCUCUCCUUGGAAGCUGUCGCACGAAUGGUCCCGCCUCCCAUUAGCUUGUUGGUGGGGUAAUGGCCUACCCAAGGCGACGAUGGGUAGCCGGCUUGAGAGGGUGUCCGGCCACACUGGGACUGAGAUACGGCCCAGACUCCUACGGGAGGCAGCAGUCGAGAAGCUUCGGCAAUGGGCGAAGGCCUGACCGAGCGACGCCGCGUGAGGGAUGAAGGCCCUAGUGGUUGUAAACCUCUGUCAGGAGGGAAUAACGCCCAAUAGUGAAUAGCUAUUGGGUCUGAAGGUACCUCCAAAGGAAGCUCCGGCUAACUCCGUGCCAGCAGCCGCGGUAAUACGGAGGGAGCGAACGUUGUUCGGAUUUACUGGGUGUAAAGGGUGCGUAGGCGGCCCCGUGUGUCAGAGGUGAAAUCCCACGGCUCAACCGUGGGACUGCCUUUGAAACUGCGAGGCUUGAGUCCGGAAGAGGAAGGUGGAAUUCCUGGUGUAACGGUGAAAAUGUGCAGAUAUCAGGAAGAACACCCGUGGCGAAGGCGGCCUUUCUGGUCCGGUACUGACGCUGAGGCACGAAAGCUAGGGUAUCAAACGGGAUUAGAUACCCCGGUAGUCCUAGCUGUAAACGGUGUCUACUAGGUGUCGGGGGU
rnacentral:rRNA from 1 species